CUUAAGAAUGACCCAAACAUGGUUGGAUUUGGUACAGAGAGAUUUUUCUAAUUUUAUUUGGAAAGGGAAAAGGCCCAGAAUUAUCAAAAAAACAAUUGAUGCAGAAAAAUCGUGAUGGUGGAAUAGGCUUUCCGAAUGUGUAUUAUACAUAUAUUUCAAAUAUGGUUUUCCAUCUGUAUAGGACACAACUACACAGUACCAAAGAAGUGAGUUGGUAUAUAUUAGAAAUGGAAAU